rnacentral:rRNA from 3 species
GGGUUGUGAGGUUAAGCGACUAAGCGUACACGGUGGAUGCCCUGGCAGUCAGAGGCGAUGAAGGGCGUGCUAAUCUGCGAUAAGCGCCGGUAAGGUGAUAUGAACCGUUAUAACCGGCGAUACCCGAAUGGGGAAACCCAGUGUGAUUCGUCACACUAUCAUUAACUGAAUCCAUAGGUUAAUGAGGCGAACCGGGGGAACUGAAACAUCUAAGUACCCCGAGGAAAAGAAAUCAACCGAGAUUCCCCCAGUAGCGGCGAGCGAACGGGGAGGAGCCCAGAGCCUGAAUCAGCAUGUGUGUU